rnacentral:lncRNA from 1 species
ACCCAAGCUAUUAGUUUAGGCUUACAAACAAUCUCGACCGCCGCACCUGGAGUGAGAUCUCCAAACAUACUAGAGCCGAUGCCAACAGGGACUCACGUUGAGCAGCAUAAUCUUCUGCAUGCUUUGUCCAAUUCACAGUCACAUGCAAAUUCUGCCCAAACAGGGGGAUCUGAUGGGAGAUCUAGCCAAACUCCACUAACUUUUGAGAGUCGUC